GAUGAAGAACGCAGCGAAAUGCGAUAAGUAGUGUGAAUUGCAGAAUUCAGUGAAUCAUCGAAUCUUUGAACGCACAUUGCGCCCCUUGGUAUCCCGAGGGGCAUGCCUGUUCGAGCGUCAUUUCACCACUCAAGCCUGGCUUGGUGUUGGGCGACGUCCUCUUUGGGGACGCGCCUCGAAACGCUCGGCGGCGUGGCACCGGCUUUAAGCGUAGCAGAAUCUUUCGCUUUGGAAGUCGGGGCCCCGUCUGCCGGAAGACCUGCUCGCAAGGUUGACCUCGGAUCAGGCAGGGAUACCCGCUGAGCUUAAGCAUAUCAAUAAGCGGAGGA
rnacentral:misc_RNA from 1 species